AGAGUUUGAUCCUGGCUCAGGAUGAACGCUAGCGAUAGGCUUAACACAUGCAAGUCGAGGGGCAGCAUGGUCUUAGCUUGCUAAGGCUGAUGGCGACCGGCGUAAGGGUGCGUAACGCGUAUGUAACUUGCCUUUGAGAGGGGGAUAACCCGGAGAAAUCCGGCCUAAUACCGCGUAUUCUCAAGUUGCUGCAUGGCAGUUUGAGGAAAGAUUUAUUGCUCAGAGAUAGGCAUGCGUUCCAUUAGGUAGUUGGUGAGGUAACGGCUCACCAAGCCGACGAUGGAUAGGGGAGCUGAGAGGCUGACCCCCCACACUGGGACUGAGACACGGCCCAGACUCCUACGGGAGGCAGCAGUGAGGAAUAUUGGUCAAUGGAGGCAACUCUGAACCAGCCAAGUCGCGUGAAGGAAGACUGUCCUAUGGGUUGUAAACUUCUUUAGUAGGUGAAUAGAGUCGGGCACGUGUGCCCGUAGGCAUGUAACCUAAGAAUAAGUAUCGGCUAACUCCGUGCCAGCAGCCGCGGUAAUACGGAGGAUACGAGCGUUAUCCGGAAUUAUUGGGUUUAAAGGGUGCGUAGGUGGCAGAUUAAGUCAGUGGUGAAAAGCUGUGGCUCAACCAUAGUCUUGCCGUUGAAACUGGUUUGCUAGAGUACAGAUGCUGUGGGCGGAAUGCGUAGUGUAGCGGUGAAAUGCAUAGAUAUUACGCAGAACUCCGAUUGCGAGGGCAGCUCACAAAGUUGUAACUGACACUGAUGCACGAAAGCGUGGGUAUCAAACAGGAUUAGAUACCCUGGUAGUCCACGCUGUAAACUAUGAUUACUCAGAGUAUGCGAUAUAGGGUAUGCUCUCAAGCGAAAGCGAUAAGUAAUCCACCUGGGGGAGUACGCCGGCAACGGUGAAACUCAAAGGAAUUGACGG
rnacentral:rRNA from 1 species